UACGAAGGGUGCUAGCGUUGUUCGGAAUUACUGGGCGUAAAGCGCGCGUAGGCGGCUUUUCAAGUCAGGGGUGAAAUCCCACAGCUCAACUGUGGAACUGCCUUUGAAACUGUUAAGCUUGAGUGUCGGAGGGGAUAGCGGAAUUGCUAAUGUAGAGGUGAAAUUCGUAGAUAUUAGCAGGAACACCGGUGGCGAAGGCGGCUAUCUGGACGACAACUGACGCUGAGGCGCGAAAGCGUGGGGAUCAAACAGG
rnacentral:rRNA from 1 species